rnacentral:rRNA from 1 species
GAUCAUGGCUCAGGACGAACGCUGGCGGCGCGCCUAAUACAUGCAAGUAGAACGCUGAAGGAGGAGCUUGCUUCUCUGGAUGAGUUGCGAAAGGGUGAGUAACGCGUAGGUAACCUGCCUGGUAGCGGGGGAUAACUAUUGGAAACGAUAGCUAAUACCGCAUAAUAGCAGUUGUUGCAUGACAGCUGUUUGAAAGGUGCAAUUGCAUCACUACCAGAUGG